rnacentral:rRNA from 1 species
AGCAGUCGCCACGGUAAUACGAAGGGUGCAAGCGUUAUUCGGAAUUACUGGGCGUAAAGCGUGCGUAGGUGGUGGUUUAAGUCCGUUGUGAAAGCCCUGGGCUCAACCUGGGAAUUGCAGUGGAUACUGGGUCACUAGAGUGUGGUAGAGGAUAGUGGAAUUUCCGGUGUAGCAGUGAAAUGCGUAGAGAUCGGAAGGAACAUCUGUGGCGAAGGCGACUAUCUGGGCCAACACUGACACUGAGGCACGAAAGCGUGGGGAGCAAACAGGAUUAGAUACCCCAGUAGUCCCUGUCUCUUAUAC